CCUGGAGUGGGGGACAACUCUCGAAAGGAGGGCUAAUACCGCAUGUAGAUCUUCGGAUCAAAGGUGGCUUCGCUACCGCUCCUGGAUGGGCUCGCGGCCUAUCAGCUUGUUGGUGAGGUAACGGCUCACCAAGGCUAUGACGGGUAGCUGGUCUGAGAGGACGAUCAGCCUCACUGGAACUGAGACACGGUCCAGACACCUACGGGUGGCAGCAGUCGAGAAUCAUUCACAAUGGGCGAAAGCCUGAUGGUGCACGCCGCGUGGAGGAUGACGGCCCUAGGGUUG
rnacentral:rRNA from 1 species